UCCGGCUUGACGCCGGCAGUCUCGUCAGAGUCCCCGGCAUGACCCGUUGGCAACUGACGACAGGGGUUUCGCUCGUUGUGGGACUUAACCCGACACUUCACAGCACGAGCUGACGACAGCCAUGCAGCACCUGUUCCAAGUUCCACCCGAAGGCGUGGCUCCCGUUUCCGGGAGUUAAUCCUUGGCUGUCAAGCCCAGGUAAGGUUCUUCGCGUUGCCUCGAAUUGAACCACAUGCUCCACCGCUUGUGUGAGCCCCCGUCAAUUCCUUUGAGUUUUAACCUUGCGGCCGUAUUUCCCAGGCGGCGAACUUAACGCUUUUGCUCCGGCCGGGACGGCGGUAAAACCGCCCCAACCCAGUUCGCAUCGUUUACGGCCAGGACUAC
rnacentral:misc_RNA from 1 species